rnacentral:lncRNA from 1 species
GAGAAAGAGCAUGACUACUAUUCUAUUAAAAGUACAGAAGUUUCUGUGCUUUUAAGUUUUUAACCAUCCAUCAAAUUUGAUGGAUGAUUAGGGUGAGAUAGAAAAGAAAAAUGUGGGAGAAAUUCUAAAAGAAGAAAAAUUGUGAAAUUCAAUUUCUUCCUUCCCGAUUUCUCUUCUCACUUUGAUCCUAACCAUUCAUGAAAUUUGAUAGAUGGUUAAAAACUUCUGAGCACAAGGGUUGCUGCACUCUUAAUAUCACAGUAGACCUUGAUGUCAAUGGCCGGCUAUGGGUAUCCGAAAUAUUAUCUGAAUCCGAAUCCGAGCGGGGCAGGUUUACCCGAGCUAAACCGGUAUAGAUUCGGUUAUGGGUAUAGAAAAUAAAAACCCGACGGAUAUGGAUUUUGUAUUUACCUAAUCCGAACCCGAACCCCAACCCGAACCCGAACCCAAACCCAAAUAAAUUAUAUAUAUACAUAAUUUGUGAGACCCCGGAUAGUCCUAUAUAUGAGAUAUAAUAGGACUAAACUCUUAACCCGGCUUAAGCAUUUUGGGUGGUAGCAAGGCCCAAGAGGUUAAGAGAGUUAAGCGUGCUAGGACGGGAGUAGUCCUAGGAUGGGUGACCCCCUGGGAAGUUGGGGCGUCACAUAAUUUAUUUUUAUUUAUUUAUAUUAUAUAUAAAAUAUUUAAUAAUUUUUAUUCUUUAGAUCUUCAUCCAACAGUAUGGAUUUUUAAAACCAGCCGAGUUCGGGUCCGGGUUCGGAUUUCGGAUUUGGUCGGAUAUGGAUAUAGGUAUGAAUUUUUUAAAUAUUUAAUAAUUUUU